UACGGAGGGUGCGAGCGUUGUUCGGAAUCACUGGGCGUAAAGCGCGUGUAGGCGGCCCAUUAAGUCUGAUGUGAAAGCCCGGGGCCCACCCCCGGAAGUGCAUUGGAAACUGAUGGACUCGAGUCCCGGAGAGGAGAGUGGAAUUCCUGGUGUAGCGGUGAAAUGCGUAGAUAUCAGGAGGAACACCGGUGGCGAAGGCGGCUCUCUGGAACGGUACUGACGCUGAGACGCGAAAGCGUGGGGAGCGAACAGG
rnacentral:rRNA from 1 species